rnacentral:lncRNA from 1 species
AGUUCUGUGAUGUGAGUUCCACGAAUGUCCAAGAUCCUCAAAUUCUGCAGUUUCUCAAUGCUUUGAGGUAAUUCCGCAAUUGAUGUGAUUUCAAGUCCUGCUCAAUCAACGAUAUCAACUUUUCAAUCGAGUCGGUGAUCUCUUUCAACAAAUGACAUCCUCAUAAUAACAAGCGUUGUAGAGACACCAGGGAGUCUAUGGAGUCUGGAAGUUGAGCAAGUUUAUGGCAUUUCCUUAGGUCAAGGAGAGACAAAAAUGUUAGAUUGCCUAUGGAGCUAUGUAUGUGGGCCAACAAUGCACAAUUAAAGGCAUUAAGGGUUUCGAGCUUCUUCAAAGAACCAAUUGAUUUAGGUAAUUCUUCAAUCCCUGAAUAAGACAAGUCCAACUGAAUCAAUGACAUGAGGGAGCCCAUGGACUUUGGAAAAUUUCUAGUCCCUGAAUGAGAUAGGUCCAAUUGAGUUAACAACCCAAGAGAGCCCAUGGAGUGUGGUAAUUCUUCAAGAUAUGAAUAAGAUAGGUCCAAUUGAGUUAACGACUUAAGGGAGUCCAUGGAUUCAGGUAAUUUAUCAAUCUCUGAAUGAGAUAGGUCUAGUUAAGUUAACGACUUAAGUGAGCCCAUGGAUUUAGGAAGUUGAGCAAGUUGUGGACACCACGAGGCACAUAAAAUCUCCAUCUUCAUCAAAUCACCCUUUGAUAUUGGAAUCUCUCGUAUAGCUGUGUCAUUUAUGAGAAGCUCCCUCAAUUGUUCCAUUCUACCUAUUCCUAUCGGUAGUUCAUCCAGUCUCCUACAACCGUUGACAUUAAAAGAGAUAAGGGACUUGAUGUGCAUAUUGGAAUGAUGAAUCGUUUCCAGAUUCUCACAUUCUUCAAGAAUCAAAAUCUCCAAGCUUUCGAAAGCAGACAAGUCAGAAGUGCUUCUCAAAGAAAGACAACCUGUAAGGUUGAGAACUUUGAGCUAGGUUGCCAUCUGAAGAAAAAAAAGAGAUACCUCAAUGAGAUUUUCCACUACUCUUUGUUCUUUUAGACUUUUUAAAAUUCCUCAGAAAAACCCACGCUCCACUACUCCUUAUCUUAUGCUACCAUUGCUAUGAUGCUCCACUACUUCACAUUUGUUUUAUUUAAAUGUUUCUUAAGUAGUAGUGUUUGGCUAUGUCACCGACACAUAAAUGUCUAUCACAAAAAGAAUGUUACGGACAUAAAAGUGCCCUCUAGCACUCACAAAAAUAACAUAUAGUUCACCCUCACAAAAUUAAUUAUAAAGCAAUGCACUUAUUUUGAAGUAGCGUUAACUUUUGUUUCUAAUAUAAAUUAUUCUAACUAUUCAAAUAGUAUUUCAUGUAAAAAGCAGUUAGAGCAUUUGUGUGAUAGUAACCAAAUGAUAGGUAAAUAGUCGUAACUUUUCAUUUCCCAUUAAAGAAGAUAGAUAUAGAUAUAUAACAAGAAUCGUUAAAAAGUCAUACUUUUACCUGGGAGAAAUUAGCCUAGAAGCCAAAAACAAUUUAGAUAAAAAAAAAUCACGAUAGGCAAAAUACUGUAAUUAUAUUUUUAAUAGAUGUUAAUUAAUAUAGUUUAAGAAGUUCUUUUUAGUAUGUCCAAUAUUAAGCAUGACUGGUUGUUAAGGUAUUAUCAAUUUAAGAUGUUAAGGUGCACAAGCUUCUGGUAUAUUUAGAUGCCUAUAAGCUCCUCUUGUAUUUAGAGGAAGAUUCUUAAUUUGAGCAAGAAUAUUAAACCUUUUUGAAUGAAAGAAAGGAGAACUUGGUGCGAUUGGGACUUCAACAAAAUGUGAUUAUUAACAAGAGAUAUGUCCUUUCUUCAUCUUACCUUCAGUGGAUCCCAUCCUUCCCAAUCAUUUGAAAUCUCACUCCACGAUAGAUUGAGCAUGACUAAUUUUUUUGGAUGAAAAUUAGUUGCUUCGAAAUUCGAGAGACAACGCUCCCAAUGAAGCCAUCUUAGUUGAGGAAGUAAAUUUUCAAAAUCUCUGAUUAAAUUCACACCACACACUUGAAGGUACCUCAAGUGGGCUAGUUCUUUAAAUUGUCCACCUGUGUAGCUUCUUUUGUAGCCAUAUUCAUCAAGACGAAGGGCCUCAAUCUUACAAGUGGCCUACAAUUAGGAAACAUAGGAGACCGUAAGAUUUGAGUGAUGACAUGAGACCAACUGCAUAUAAGAAAAGAUAUACUAUUUCAUUUACUGAUAUACUAUUAUCUUGCAGGCUUCUCCCUUUCAACUUUGCAAAGCGGUAGAUUUUGAUUGCGUAAUUAAAUAUCUCAUAUGUAUAAAAAUGUAAGGCUAAGGAGGGUGUUUUGUGACUUAUUCUCUUCCAAUUAUGCCCUUCACAAUUUACACAUUUUGAAUUUCCAAAAAAAAAAAAUUAAUAGAAUAGAAUAUCUCUCUCCAUGCACACACCACUCCAAAUAUAUCUAUUAAAAUUCAUGUCAUUUAUAUGCGAAACAAUGCAACUCUAACUCAUAUCCUUAAUACGCAAAACAACAAGACGACCCUUACAAUGCAAAUAUAUCUAUCAAAUUUGCCAUCAAGACAUCCAUCAAAAUUAGAGAAUCCCCAUGGUAAUAGCUAAGUGAAACAAGAAUGUCAUCCAAAAAGUACGCGCAUGUUUACAUUCCUUUUUUGUCAUGUUUUUCCUCUAUGAGUGAUUUUCUUUGUACUUGAAAGAAAAACCAAUCAUCGAUCAAACGUUAUAUAAUUAAUUUUUACUCCUCUUUUCGUCACUGCAGAUGGUUGAUGUUCUCUUCUCAUGCGUUGUGAAAUAGCAGUCAUUGAUAUGUUUGAUAAUUUGCCCAUAGAUUGAUGAGAUCUUGCUAAUAGACACAUUGGCUAAGAAGAUCGACUAAAUUGGAUGUUUAAAGAGCUCAAUUGUUAUGUUUGGAGGAUACAAUUUCUCCUUCAAACUUGUAUUCUUUCAGAUGAGACGCUACUUACUUUUCCUUCAAAAGUUCCUUGUAAAUUUAUAGUGUUUUUUCAAUAACUUCAUAGAUAACUUUCUUUUAGUUCUAAUCAAUGUUCUAUAUUGUUGAUUAGAUUUCCAUUUGUGCAAAAAUUUUCUUGCUGAAAAGCAUCGAUAUAAUAUUUUUCAGUAAUAUUGCUACUUCAUUAUAUUUUGCAUCUCAAUGUUUAUAUGUGGUACUUGUCAAUUAAAGAUGCUCUUGACAUUUGCGCGUGCUUGUGUGAUGCUUGAACAAAUCAUCCAUAUGUCAUAAGUGCUUUUAGUUACGUCCAUAUUAACUUUAACACUAAUAAUGAAAACUCGUCGUCAUAUAAAAUUCAAAACAUUUUUUGUCUUUACAUGACAACAAAAGUUAAAUUUAAAAAUAUUUGAGUGAGCCAUUGCUUUGAAUUUAUCCACGUCUUAUUGAUAUUAUGCAGAUUAAUCUCAUUAACAAAAUUUGAUCCGUCACUUUUUCGAGUAAUUUAUGAGAUGAUGGACAACAUUCUCAUAUAUAUUUAAUUAAAAAAAUUACAUUGGCUUAAAUUAAGUAUUACAGGUGAUAAGAGCUAUCUCUAACUGUGUAUAUAAUCAUAUUCUAAUAUAACGUUGUUAAUAAUUGUUAUUAUAUGAAUACAUGGUCCUCAAACUUAUGUGAUAAUCAUUUAAAAAAAAUAGAAAAAUCGAAAGUAUUCUUAUCCUGAAUUUGAUUGUUGAAUUGAAAAUUAUAUUGUAAUAUAUUAUGUUAAUAUUACUUUGAUGUCGGCAAAUGGUUGUAAAUUUGUUUUCUGUUUUUCUCACUAUUGUUAUCUCAUAAAUUUAUAAAACCAUUGUAAAUGUAAGGUUACCCGAUCACUAAAAUAUAAACUCCGAUGAUUCUCCAUAAAAGAAAUUUGUGUAUACAUGUUUAGUAAAUAUGUUGUUAAAAAUUUUAGUUGUGAUAAUUCUUCGACAUUGAAAGGUUCGUCAGAUUGAAGAUGUAUGUUUUUUAAUAUAUGUUCUAAAAGUAAAGUACAAAUUAUUAUCGAGACCAUAUCAUUGCAAAUGUAUAGUCUUGCAAAAAUAUAAUAUAAUGUGGUAGAUAAAUCGAUAAUUUCACCACUAAAUAUUCUUGUGUAACUUUUUAUAGAAAUCGUGACCUGGAAAUUAAUUUUUAGAUAUAUCUUUAUACACAUAGACAACAUAAUAACAAUUCUUCCAUUAAAUUUUCGUGAUCAUGAAUAUUUCUAGGGAAGUUUUCAUUAUUCUUCUAAGACGAAGUCAUUUAGUUUUGUGGUGUUGGUCAAAGUUAUGAUGAUUCUUCUACUACAAUCCUGACCGAUUUAUUUAUAUUAACAAUGAUCGUCCUACAUGAUACUGUUAAUAUCAACGUCAGUAAUUUCUAAUGAAAUUGAUAUAUUUUAAAAAAAAUUAUUGUCAAAUUGAUCAAAUUAAAAUGUUUAUAAUUAAAAUUUUAUUUUGAUAAUUUUUUCACCGAUAUUACAUUAUAUUUUCAUUGUCAUGUCAAAUCCGUUUGUUUAGUAUUAGAUAACGUUCUCCUUUGGCUAAUAGAGUUAUAGUUGAUGUUAUGUUCGCUGUGAAAGAGUCCCACCAGCUGAAGUUCAAGCUUCACUUCAGCAGAUAUAUAAAACGAAAGUUAAGUAAAAAGGUGGCAAUGCCAUCAAAUAAUCAAAACCAAAUCAAGCACACCGAAUUAGGAAAGCCUCGGAAAUCAAUUUCAAAGCAAUGGACAAAUUUGACUUUGACUCCAUGUGAUAAAGGCAAGUAUAAAUAAAGGCGAGCUACUCCUAGGCUUCAACAGAGGCCAACUUCAGCACUCUGUGUCUGUCUCUUCUUCACGACACUGCUUGCGGGAUCUCAGUUCGCUACUGAAGGCUUUUAUUGGUAUUGGGCUUAAGGCCCGUCCGCCCAAGUUGGGCCCAGAAAGCCCGGCCCACGGGAAUACGGCCCGUGGAAAGAGGGAGGUAUAAAAGGGAGGAGAGAGAGAGAGAGAUGACGUUGGUUGAAAUCAGAAUUCACGUCGUCUCUCUCCCGCGCGUAUUCUCUCUCAAAAGACAAAAAGAAAGAACAGUAACGCAUACGGCUUGUUCUUCCUCCCUUCAAGGCUUCAUCGAAUCGAUUCGACCAGAUUCUCUUCCUCCAUUGGCGUUUGGUGUUUAAUCUGUGGCAAUCAAGGUACGCUCGAAUCCGUGGUGUGCUUUACGAUCGGUGAUAUGUGUCGUUUUCUUGGGCUUCGCUUCCGCAUUGAUUUAGGGGUUCGAUUUAGUGUCGAAUCCGGGUUUUCGGGGAUCAGUCAUUCCCAACAUUGGUAUCAGAGCCCGCUUUCACGUUUUCCCGAUCAAUUUAAUAUGUUUUGAUUGAGUUUUUCGCGAAGAAACUUUCGCCGUACGGAACCGGGCGAAAUCCCGACACCCGAGACUUCUUCGGCCAUUUUCAUGAGUUUUAGAAUGUCAAAAACAAAUUCUGAAAGCACUGGGAAGAAAGGCGACGUCGAGACGAGUCUGGAGAUGUCUCGAGCGCGGCCGGGUGACGCCCGCACCGCGCCCACACGCGCGGCCGGAAGGCGCUGCGCGUGGGCGCGACGCGCCCGGAAGCGCUCGAUCGCCAGGCGCGUGCGUCACACGCGCCGGUCGGCGAAUCGGCGCAUGUGCACCGCCGGCCGGCGAACCGGCACGCGCCGGUCCACGGACCGACGCGUGCUGACGUCAUCAUGACGUCACCCAACGGUCAGUAACCGCUGGGCUGACGUCAUCGAUGACGUCAGCGAUGACGUCGGUUGGCCGGGCGGCGACCCGACCCGAGAACCGACCCGACCCGACCGGCUGAUGAUGGCACGCGCGUGGCAGGUGCCGCUGACGUCUGCGUGACGUCAUCCCGCGCACGCGCGCGGCACGUGCGGCCGGUCCGCCCGAACGGUCCGACCGGUUCGUCCGGUCAGUCUGGUCCGACCGGUCCGUCCGGUCCGACGACCGACGACCGUUGACCGGCGACGACCGUUGACCGGCGACGACCGUUGACCGUUGACUUGACCGUUGACCGACCGUUGACCGUUGACUUUGACCGUUGACCCAAAAAAAAAAAAAAGAAAAAAAAGAAAAAAAAAGGGAAAGAAUGUGUUUCUUUUUCAAUUAAGUCUAUGUGGAUUAUAUGUAAUCCCUUAUUUGUUCUGCAUUUGUUGCAGGAACAAUGCCUCCCCUGAGGAUGCGCACACCUAUUCGCGCAGUGACCGAUGAACAAAAGGAAAGGCUGUCUAAGUUGAUAGCUGAGCUGACUGAUCAUCGAUGGGAGAGUGGUGACUUAAUUGAUCACGUCCUUGAAGUCAACGGGAAAAUUCAACAGGUCAUAUGGAAUGGUCGUCCUAUGUCACAGUCAGAGAUGGUGCGAUUUUUCAUAAAUACUCUUCCACCUGAAUGGCAAGAUGUGUUGAAUCGCAUAUGGGAUGUCAACGGAGCUGCUUCCUAUAAGAAAAUUGUGAUGGAUUUUGUAAAUGAAUAUUAUUGUAUUGUUUCAAGGGAAAAGAUCAAGAAAUUGAACAAAAGAGGAUCUUUCCCAGUUCGUGUGCUGACUUGGUGUUAGUUGUAUUUGCUGAUAUAUGUUAAGUGUGAUUUGUGGACAUAUUAUGUAAUGAUUACUACCUAAUUGUGUUAAUUGAAAGCAUUAUUGUUUUUAUUAGAUGUUCUAUUAUAUAUUGUUUUCUGUUAUUGCUGGUUGCUGUGGGUAAUUAGCUGUGGGUAGUUUUAGAAGUUUUUGUAGCUUCAUAGAAUUGAUUUUGCAUAAGACAAUUAUAUUGAUGAUAGUUUUAAGUUAGGAUUUUGGAGGAUGAUUGGAAACAUAGUGACCUUUUGAUUCUGAAACCUUACUUGAAAUUAUUCAUUAAUGUGAUGGGUCUAUGUAAAUAGGGAUGCAUAAAUGAUAGGCAUUAAUAAUUCGUGCAUAUUUGUCUGAUUUGUUCAGAUCAAUGGCUUCAGCCACAAAGAGCAUAGUUGCCGAGCUGAACAAAGGUGAAAAGCUCAAUGGAGACAACUAUGAAAUUUGGCAAAUGAAAAUCCAGUAUGUGCUGGAAGAGCAAGAAGCACUUGAGGCUCUUGUCAUGACCAUGGUAGAACCUGAAGAGGGAACUACUGCACAGCACAAAAGAAACAAAGAAGCUUUUUCUGCGUGGAAAAGAAUGAACUCUCUAGCUCGCAUCACGUUGCUGAGCAGCAUGGAAAAUGACGUCAUGCGAGAGUUUCGGCGUUUUGACAAUGCUAAGGAAAUGUGGGAAGCAUUGGCAGCUAGAUUUGGUCAUACUUCGGUGACUAGAUUGAGGCAGCUCACUAUCAGGUUUGACUCUUAUAAGAAGCCUCAUGGUCAGACCAUGAAGCAACAUCUUAGAAAGAUGUCAAACAUGAUAACUGAGCUGAGAGAUGCUGGCCAUGUCCUCACAGAUGAGUAGCAAGUGCAAGCAGUGAUUCGUUCCUUGCCUCAGAGUUGGGAGCAUAUGAAGGUGCACCUGACUCAUAAUGAAAAUAUCAAAACCCUUGAGGAUGCAAUGCGUCAUCUUGAGCUGGAAGAGGACCGCUUGUUGGCGGCUAAGCCGGAUGCUGAACUUUAUUAUGCUGGUUCUAGCUCAAAUGGAGCUUCGAGCUCCAAACGUAAGCGCCCUAACUGGUUUGAUAAGGGGAAAGGCAAGGAAGAAGCAGGUCCUUCAGGGAAGAAACCCAAGUUUAACCAACAUGAAAGAGGGAAGCGUCCCCGCAUGAAAAAGCUUGCAAGGGUGAAAUGCUACAACUGUGACAAGAAGGGUCACUAUGCUCGCGAUUGUCGUGAGCCAAAGAAGGUAUGCACCCCUUGUACUUUUCAGAACUUUACUUAUGUGUCGAGUUCUGUGUUCCUAACUGAGUCUAAUCCUUUGUGGACUGUGGAUUCAGGAGCGACAGACCAUGUAGCGAAGGAUAGAGGAUCCUUCGUGGAAUUCCGACGAGUACCAAUUGGAACUAAGUGGAUCUAUGUGGGAAACAACUCCAGAGCUGAAGUGAAAGGAAUUGGCACAUGCCAACUGAAUAUGCGUGGUGGACGCACCUUGUUUCUUCAUGAUGUAUUGUAUGCUCCGGAGAUUCGUCGGAAUUUAGUGUCUGUAUUAAUGUUGGUUAAAUUAGGUUUUAAUAUGAACUUCUGUAGUAGAGGUGUGAAUUUGUUUUUGGAGACAAAUUACUAUGGUUGUGGCUAUUUUCUGGAUGGUUUUAUUGUAUUAGAUAUUGAUUAUGUUAAUGCUAAUGUUUGUUAUUCCCUUAUCACAUCUUCUAAUACCUAUGAUAAUGAUGUGAAUGUGUGGCAUGCUAGACUUGGUCACAUUGGCCAACAACGUAUGAAUAGACUAGCCAAAGAGGGCUUGUUGCGUAACAUUGAAAAAGUCGAUUUACCCAUAUGUAAGCAUUGUCUAGAAGGAAAAACAACACGGAAACCAUUUGGGAAAGGGAAAAGAGCUGAAUUUCCUUUGCAUUUAAUCCAUUCUGAUGUCUGUGGUCCAAUGAAUGUGAGAGGAAGGCAUGGGGCUGUUUAUUUCAUCACCUUUAUUGAUGACUAUACUCGAUUCGGAUAUGUCUAUUUGAUUUCUCAUAAGUCUGAAGCAAUAAGUUGUUUCAAAAGGUUUAUGAACCUGGUAGAAAAUCAAUUAGACAAGAAAAUAAAAACAUUGAGAUCCGAUCGAGGUCGAGAAUAUUUAUCUGAUGAGUUCAGAAAAUUAUGUGAUGAAAAAGGAAUAGAAAGACAGUUGUCUAUUCCGUAUACUCCUCAACAAAAUGGUGUUGCAGAGAGAAGAAACAGAACCCUACUGUAAAUGGUUAGGUCUAUGAUGGCGCAUGCUAACUUACCUAUCACCUUUUGGAGUGAUGCAUUGUUAACUGCUGCCUAUAUACUUAACCGGGUGCCUUCCAAAUCAGUUACUUCCACUCCAUAUGAGUUAUGGACAGGUAGAAAACCGGACUUAAGUUUUCUUAAGCCAUGGGGUUGUGCUGCCUACACACAUGAGUCCUCUCACAAAUUUGGGAAAUUAGGUCCCAGAGGAAAGAAGAGUAUUUUCAUAAGAUACUCAGAACACUCAAAAGGGUAUGUGUUCAUAGGUGAGCAAGAAAGUGGAAGUAUAACUGAGUUUGAAUCACGAGAUGUCACAUUCUUAGAGGAUGAAUUUCCUAAGAAGGGCGAAAUAGGGGAAGAUUGUUCUCUAUUUGAGACCUUGGAUCAGGAUAAUGACCUUAGUGGACUUCGUCCAAGUGGGAGUAAUAUGAGAAGUGAUGAAUUGAAUUCAACUCAUUCUCAAUUGCAACCACUUGAUGAGACGACAUCAUUACCUAAUCCAAGUGGGAGCAUAAUGGGAAAUGAUGUGCAAAGUGUACAAUCUCCCAUUAGGCGAACAAGUCGCCAAAGUAUUCCCCGUCGACGUUUUGGCAUUGAAGGAGAAACUUUUAUGGUUGCUCCACAAGAUGAGGAUGAGCCAAGAAAUAUUAAUGAGGCUCUGAAUUGCCCUAGUAAGGAAAAAUGGAUCAAUGCAAUGGAAGAGGAAAUUGAGUCAAUGAAAUCAAACCAAGUCUGGGAACUGGUUGAUCUGCCAAAAGGACGCAGAGCUAUUGGGAACAAAUGGGUUCUCAAAAUAAAGCGAAAGGCUGAUGGCUCGAUUGAAAGGCAUAAGGCUCGCCUUGUGGCGAAGGGGUAUAAUCAACAGGAAGGAAUUGAUUAUGAAGAUACAUUUUCUCCUGUAGUGAGAUUUACCUCGAUUCGCAUUAUUCUGGCAAUAGUGGCUAGUCUGGAUCUUGAGUUACAUCAAAUGGAUGUAAAGACUGCUUUCCUCAAUGGACAAUUAGAGGAAGAAAUAUAUAUGGAACAACCUGUUGGUUUCAUAGUGAAAGGCCAAGAAGAAAAAGUAUGUCGACUUUUGAGGUCGAUAUAUGGUCUUAAGCAGUCGUCAAGACAAUGGUAUAUACGCUUUCAUAAUGCCAUAAUGGCAUAUGAUUUUACGAUGAUUGAUGAGGAUCAUUGUGUAUAUAUCAAAAGAUCCAAGGAUCAAUUUGUGAUCAUAUCAUUAUAUGUUGAUGAUAUACUAAUUGCUGGAAGCAAUAUGGAGUUUGUUAAGACUGUCAAAAGUUGGUUGUCUUCCAACUUUGAGAUGAAGGAUAUGGGUGAGGCUGCAUACAUUCUUGGAGUUAAGAUUUCAAGAGAUCGUUCGAAGAGAUCGUUGUCUCUUUCGCAAGAAACUUAUAUAAACAAAGUUUUAGAACGGUUUCGUAUGCAAGAUUGCAAACCGAUAGACACUCCUAUUGCAAAAGGUGAAGGAUUGAGCCAUAGACUGUGUCCAAGGACUCCACAAGAGAAGGAACAAAUGAAACAUGUACCUUAUGCAAGUGCUGUUGGGAGCUUGAUGUACGCUAUGAUGUGUACAAGACCCGACAUAUGUUUUGCAGUUGGAAUGGUGAGUAGAUACCAAUCCAAUCCAGGUCCAGCACAUUGGAAAGCUGUCAAAAGAAUACUGAGGUAUCUGAAGGGAACUGCUGAUUACAAGUUGAAUUACCAAGGAAAGGAUCUGCGACUUGAAGGCUAUUCAGAUGCUGAUUGGGGAGGAGAUUUAGAUGAAAGGAAAUCUACCUCAGGAUUUGCUUUCUUACUGAGCAAUGGCGCAAUAUCAUGGAGUAGUAAGAAGCAAACCUGCAUAGCCUUAUCCACGAUGGAAGCUGAGUUCGUGGCAUUAUCAGCAGCAGUACAAGAAGCAGUUUGGCUUAAGAGAUUCUUGGAUCAUUUAGGUGUUAUUGAGAAAGCUGCAAAUCCAUUGUUGGUUAACUGUGAUAGCCAAGCAGCUAUAGCGUACACCAAAGAUCCAAAGUAUCAUGGCAAGACCAAACAUAUAGAUACCAAGUAUAACUUUGUAAAAGAUAUGAUUGCACGAAAGGAUGUGAGCUUACAGUACAUAUCUACGCAUAGAAUGGUAGCAGAUCCUAUGACAAAGCCAAUACCUAGAGAUGUGUUUUGUGGUCAUGUAAAAUCUCUAGGAUUGCGUAGAGUCUGAUGUACUGAAUUGUAAUUUCCCUGAGUUGUUCACAUUUAUGAAAUUUUGUUUUUCAUUGAUUAAUGCCUAUGAAUCUUUGUAUGAUCUUUAUGCAUCUUAGUGCUCAGUGCAUUAUUUUAAGUAGAGAAGUAUGUCGGACAGAUAUAAGAUUAGCCCACUCACACGGGUAAUCGCCUCUAUUUACUGUGUGAUAAAUAGAGAUGAGACUGUUUUUAAGCUUAUUAUCUAGGUGAUAAUCGAGAGCUCAAGCUUAAAACACGUAUGUCGCCUUAACUGAGUGUUAAGAUGAUGACAUAAUACUUACUAUGUUCAAAAGUAAAAUAACCCACAUAUUUUACUUUAUCUGUCUAAAAUGCCAGAUGUGAGUUCUGAUGAAUUUUGUGAUUGAGUAGAUAUGUGAACUCAAGUUAGACAUUAGGUAUGUCUGAACUAUCAUCUGUACGGUAUUGAAAAGUGUAGACAUACGCUCCAUGGGAAAGGAGUUAAUACCGUAAUACGUAUUUCAUACUACGUAUGCAUAAGACGACCAAUAAGAGUGGCAAAAAGUUUGAUCUCAACUUUUAUGACGUGUGAGACUCUUGAGGAAAAGAGUUCCUCAAUUUUUGUCCCCUCAUGACUCUUACUUAUUCUCAAGAUUUCUAUUUAGUGUUUGCUAUCUUAGGAUAUUGCCAAUGGUCAUGUGAUGAUUCGAUCUAAUGGGGCAUUUCUAGAAAAGCAAGCUGGACUGAAAUUGAGAGUUUGAAGGAAAGAGGAAGAUCGAUUUUGGAGAAUCACAUUAUAGUUUUGUAUUCACUGGUCGACCAAUUAUAACUGUCUUUGUGAUAAUUAUAAUUGUGAAUACAAUAUAUAUCAUUGUUUAAAAGAGAUUAAGAGAGAUAUAAAUGUGAACGAUCGAUCUAGGGUACUGCAUACUAAAUCUACUCGGAGUGUGACGCCCAUUAUGAGCUGCUAUAUAUUCCUAACAGAUGUAUAGUAACGAGCUCUCAAAGUAUGCUGGUCGCACGGAUUAUUCACCAGUAUGAAUGUUGAAGAGAGGUAAAGAGAAUAUUGUUCGGCCCACCAUGUUAAGAGAGAGUCUAUGAUGGAUUAUUCUCUGAUGGGCCUGAGUAGGGCCUGUCCGCCCAUGUUGGUUUUGGACCACCAUGUGCGAGUGGGAGAUGAAGGCUUUAUUUGAUUUGGGCUUAAGGCCCAUCCGCCAAAGUUGGGCCCAGAAAGCCCGGCCCACGGGAAUAAGGCCCGUGGAAAGAGGGAGGUAUAAAAGAGACAGAGAGAGAGAGAGAGAGAAAAAAAAAAAACGUUGAAUCGGAAUUACGUUCUCUCUCCCGCGCGUUUUCUCUCCCAAAAAGGACAGUAGGCAGUAAGCAUACGGCUUGUUCUUCCUCCCUUCAAGGCUUCAUCGGAUCGAAUUGAUCAGUUUCUCUUCCUCCAUCAACGUCGGUGUUUAAUCUGUGGCUAAAAGGUACGCUCGAAUCCGUGGUGUGCUUUACGAUCGGUGAUGCGUGUCGUUUUCUUGGGCUUCGCUUCCGCAUUGAUUUAGGGGUUCGAUUUAGUGUCGAAUCCGGGUUUUCGGGGAUUAGUAAUUCCCAACAUACCGAAAUGUUCCUGAAGAAUCACCUCUCUUGAUAACACGUGAGAUUCUGGAUAAUUAGAAAAAUCUCCUUUGCGAACGUUGGAUUUGCUUCAUUCUCCAAAAAAAUGGUCCACAUGAGCGCUUCCCCGUCAUAUAUGCACUAUUCACCAUGGAGUGUUUAUUUUCAUUUUUUCGCCACAAUGACUUGGUUUAUAUUAUCAUUAAUUAUAUUUGACCUCUCACAUUUUCUCGAAACCGUGCCUUUGUGUUAAAAAGCAAAAAAUUGUGCAAAUUUUUUACAACCUUAUUUCCUUAUUGAUAACUAUUAGGAGAUGAGCACGGGACAGUUGGUGUAGUUUGAAUGUCAAACCAAACCAAACUGUAUAAGUAAAAUUUGACGAAAAAUGAAACAAUUAAAUCGGAUCAUAGUCAAGAAUUAACCAAGCCAAACCAUUUUUUGGGGAUUGAUUCGGUUUAGUUGUUGUUUCUUCUUUCAUCUUUUUCUCUUUACCUAUUGUAACUUCAUUGAAAACAAAAACAAAAAAAAAACAAAUUCUAUACUCACAACAAGUCAUAAAUUUCACACAAAAUAAAAAUGAAACCUAUUUCGAUAGGCUACUUCACAUAUAAAUGGCAUAAUUAAUUGACAAAAUAAAUAAUUUAUACAAUAAGAUUUUGCAAUUUGAUUUGGUUUCCCAAAAGUUGAAACCAAACCAAACCUCAUAAAAUCGAGAUAUGACUUGAGGAAAUAAAAAUUGACUUAGCUGACCAAAAGAUUCUUUACGAGUUUUGAAGUAUUUAGAGUUAAUAUGGAGAUCAUAAGAUUGGACUAGACAUCAACAACAAUGGUAAUACAUAGCUUCCAAACUAGAGAGAAAUGGCUUUGUUAGAAAUUUUUUGAAACAUUUGCUUCCGAAUCGUGAACAGGACAUGCUGUGGCGACAAGUCGAGGAUUAUUAUUAGGAAGUUCUUGCUCAGAGCACCAGUUAGCCAACCCACACCUAAUAAGUGGAUUUAUUGAUUGUGCACCAUAUGAAAAAAAAAGAAAAAGAAAAAGUGCUUUGAAAAUGACACGUGGAUGUCUAACUUAAUCAAUAAGGGCCCUUCGUCGAUAAAAUCCUUAUUACAAAAAUAUACACUUUAAAUAUUUGAAUUUGACCCCAUUUUUCAUAAAAAGCAAAUAUGCAACUUCAGAGCAGAUGCAACUUUCGAAUUAUAGUCAAUAAAGUUAAUGGCUUUAAAAAUAGGGUUAAUAUUAUGAAGAAUCUCAAACUGGCUCACAUAUAACAAAUUUACCCUAAGCCAAAAACUUCAAACUAGCAUAUUUGUGAUAAAUUUAUUCUAAACAAAUUUUUUGACCACCAAAAACCUCAAAUUGAUAUAUCUAUGAUAAAUUUAUCCAAAAUUAAUUUUUUGACCGCUAAAAUCUCAAAAUUGAUACAUUUAUGAUAUGAAAAAUCACAAGUAGUAAACAUGUGAUAAAACAGAGAGUAAAACCCUAAAUUAACACACCCGUCAAUUGCAAGUAUCAUUUAACUCAGCAAUUUAAUAGUAAAUCUAAUACAAACUAACUAAUGGUAAAUUUGUGACAAGCAUACCGGUUUAGGGUUUUUGGUGGUUAAAAAAUUAGUUUAAGAUAAAUUUAUAACGAGUAUAUUAAUUUAAAUUUUUUUAUGAAUGUAUGAUAUUGGCUUUCUCUUUAUCUGUGAACCAUUGGUACGGGCUUUGCGUAAACUCAACCUCAAUUUCAUUCACCAACCACCUGAAAAAUAUUAUGCUCGGUUGAAGCAACAAAACUGGUGCCGCACUAACAGUACAUACACAGUGUUCGCAACAUUUAUUUCCCUACUGAGUUUGCACUUGAAAGCCACAUGUUCGACGAAGAGAAAGCAUGAGAUCUUAUAGGCUACCUAGACGUGAAAUUAUGACAUAAGCCAAGCCAACAUACGUAUUAUAAUAUUCAAUGUUUAAAUAUUCUAGGAGUCAACAUGGCACCUGGAAGUUCUGUUAUGUGGGUUCCACGAAUGUCCAAGAUCCUCAAAUUUUGCAAUUUCUCAAUGCUUUGAGGUAAUUCCACAAUUGAUGUAGAUUUCAAGUCUAGCUCAGUCAAUGAUACCAACUUUCCGAUCGAGUCGGGAAUCUCUUUCAACAAGAGACAUCCUCGUAAUAACAAGCGUUGUAGAGACACCGGGGAGUCUAUGGAAUUUGGAAGUUGAGCAAGUUUAUGGCAUUUCCUUAGGUCAAGGAGAGACAAAAAUGUUAGAUUGCCUAUGGAGCUGUGUAUGUGGGCCAACAAUGCACAAUUAAAGGCAUUGAGGGUUUCGAGCUUCUUCAAAGAACCGAUUGGUUCAGGUAAUUCUUCAAUCCCUGAAUAAGACAAGUCCAACUGAAUCAAUGACACGAGGGAGCCCAUGGACUCUGGAAAUUUUCUAAUCCCUGAAUGAGAUAGGUCCAAUUGAGUUAACAACCCAAGAGAGCCCAUGGAGUGUGGUAAUUCUUCAAGAUAUGAAUAAGAUAGGUCCAACUGAGUUAACGACUCAAGAGAGUCCAUGGAUUCAGGUAAUUUAUCAAUCUCUGAAUGAGAUAGGUGUAGCUGAGUUAACAACUUAAGUGAGCCUAUGGAUUCAAGAAGUUGAGCAAGUUGUGGACACCAUGAGGCACAUAAAAUAUCCAGCUUCAUCAGAUCACCUUUUGAUAUUGGAAUCUCUCGUAUAGCCGUAUCAUUUAUGAGAAGCUCCCUCAAUUGUUCCAUUCUACCUAUUCCUAUCGGUAGUUCCUCCAAUCUCCUACAACCGUUGACAUUCAAAGAGAUAAGGGACUUGAUGAGCAUGAUAGAAUGAUGAAUCAUUUCCAGAUUCUCACAUUCUUCAAGAAUCAAAAUCUCCAAGCUUUCGAAAGCAGACAAGUCAGGAGUGCUUCUUAAAGAAAGACAACCUGUAAGGUUGAGAACUUUGAGCUGGGUUGCCAUCUGAAGAAAGAAAGAGAUAGCUCAACGAGAUUUUCCACUACUCUUUGUUCUUUUAGACUUUUUAAAUUUCCUUGGAAAAACCCACGCUCCACUACCCCUGAUCUUAUGCUACCAUUGCUAUGAUGCUCCACUACUUCACAUUUGUUUUAUUUAAAUGUUUCUUAAGUAGUAAUGUUUGGCUAUGUCACCAACACAUAAAUGUCUAUUACAAAAACAAUGUUAUCGACAUAAAAGUGCUCUCUAGUACUCACAAAAAUAACAUAUAAUUCACCCUCAUAAAAGUG